rnacentral:rRNA from 1 species
AUUGAACGCUGGCGGCAUGCCUUACACAUGCAAGUCGAACGGUAACAGGUCUUCGGAUGCUGACGAGUGGCGAACGGGUGAGUAAUACAUCGGAACGUGCCCGAUCGUGGGGGAUAACGCAGCGAAAGCUGUGCUAAUACCGCAUACGAUCUACGGAUGAAAGCGGGGGAUCGCAAGACCUCGCGCGGACGGAGCGGCCGAUGGCAGAUUAGGUAGUUGGUGGGAUAAAAGCUUACCAAGCCGACGAUCUGUAGCUGGUCUGAGAGGACGACCAGCCACACUGGGACUGAGACACGGCCCAGACUCCUACGGGAGGCAGCAGUGGGGAAUUUUGGACAAUGGGCGAAAGCCUGAUCCAGCAAUGCCGCGUGCAGGAUGAAGGCCUUCGGGUUGUAAACUGCUUUUGUACGGAACGAAAAGACUCUGGUUAAUACCUGGGGUUCAUGACGGUACCGUAAGAAUAAGCACCGGCUAACUACGUGCCAGCAGCCGCGGUAAUACGUAGGGUGCAAGCGUUAAUCGGAAUUACUGGGCGUAAAGCGUGCGCAG